UACGGAGGGUGCAAGCGUUGUCCGGAUUUAUUGGGUUUAAAGCGUACGUAGGCGGUUACUUAAGUCAGCGGUGAAAUCCCACGGCUCAACCGUGGAACUGCCGUUGAUACUGGUUGGCUUGAGUUCGGUCGAGGCGGGCGGAACUGGUGGUGUAGCGGUGAAAUGCAUAGAUACCACCAAGAACCCCGAUUGCGAAGGCAGCUCGCUGGGCCGAAACUGACGCUGAGGCACGAAAGCGUGGGGAGCGAACAGG
rnacentral:misc_RNA from 1 species